UACGGAGGGAGCUAGCGUUGUUCGGAAUUACUGGGCGUAAAGCGCGCGUAGGCGGCUUUGUAAGUUAGAGGUGAAAGCCCGGAGCUCAACUCCGGAACUGCCUUUAAAACUGCAUCGCUUGAAUCCAGGAGAGGUGAGUGGAAUUCCGAGUGUAGAGGUGAAAUUCGUAGAUAUCCGGAAGAACACCGGUGGCGAAGGCGGCCUGCUGGGCAGUGGCUGACGCUGAGGCGCGACAGCGUGGGGAGCAAACAGG
rnacentral:rRNA from 1 species